rnacentral:sRNA from 1 species
CUUUGGUGUGCAGUAUUUUUACUCCAUUUUUGACCAAAGACACCUGAACAUUCCUGGAGAAAACAGUGAUGUGGCGGACCAUUGUGACCGGGGUUCCCAGGGAUGCCAGGGUGCCCUUGCCUGCACAUGUCCUGUGAGCUUAUGUUCCCUGUGCAGAUUUCAAUGGCAAGCAGAAGCCACCAGAUCCUCAUGGUUCAGAUGACAGACUCUGAACUGAAAGAGGGAAACAGAAACCCAAAGGAGAAACCUUUGUUGCUGGGGCCCUGGACACAGCCUGUGUUCCAUGCAGUGGGAAAUGGAUGAGCUGUCCCCUGCCCCAGACCCACACCUGGACAGACUUGGCAGAAGACUCAGGGCAGGGGAGCAAGCUGGUUAUAACCAGGAUGACAUUGUCCUUGGAAAGUAACCCUUGUGAUUGGAACCACUCUUCAAGGUGCACGGGCAAUUUAAAAAGUCAAGUUUAAGGUCA